AAUUAAUUACAGUAAAGGGUAAAAUCAAAAUGCUGUUAAUAUAAGUAAAAUAAAUUUAUGCUGAAGCUAGAAAAAUUUAGUUAAAAACUAGGAUUAGAUACCCUAUUAUUCUGAAUUAAAAAUACGUUACUGAGUGAGUAUUAGUUAAAUACUUAAAAAUUAAAAAAUUUGGCGGUGAUUUAAUCUUACCAGAGGAACUUGUUUCUUUAUCGAUAUACCACGAAGAAUCUUACUUACUUUUGUAAAUUAAUCAGUUUGUAUACCAUCAUUAGCAGGCAAUUUUAAUAAAAUUAAUUGCUAGUUAUUAAUUAGUUACUAAAAUUAGAUCAUGGUGCAGCAUAUAAGUAAGUUGAAAUGAGUUACAAUAAUUUUUAUUAUAUGGAUCAGUAAAAAAAUAGUUACUGUAAAGGAGGAUUUGGUUGUAUUUUAAGUUUAAUAAGCUUAUAAGACAUUAGCUCUAAAUCAUGUACAUAUCGCCCGUCGCUUUCGU
rnacentral:rRNA from 1 species